rnacentral:rRNA from 1 species
AUUGAACGCUGGCGGAAUGCGUUACACAUGCAAGUCGAACGGCAGCACGGACUUCGGUCUGGUGGCGAGUGGCGAACGGGUGAGUAAUACAUCGGAACGUGCCCAGUCGUGGGGGAUAACGUAGCGAAAGCUACGCUAAUACCGCAUACGAUCUAAGGAUGAAAGCGGGGGAUCGCAAGACCUCGCGCGAUUGGAGCGGCCGAUGGCAGAUUAGGUAGUUGGUGGGGUAAAGGCUCACCAAGCCGACGAUCUGUAGCUGGUCUGAGAGGACGACCAGCCACACUGGGACUGAGACACGGCCCAGACUCCUACGGGAGGCAGCAGUGGGGAAUUUUGGACAAUGGGCGAAAGCCUGAUCCAGCCAUUCCGCGUGCAGGAUGAAGGCCCUCGGGUUGUAAACUGCUUUUGUACGGAACGAAAAGGCUCUGGUUAAUACCUGGGGCUCAUGACGGUACCGUAAGAAUAAGCACCGGCUAACUACGUGCCAGCAGCCGCAGUAA